rnacentral:rRNA from 1 species
UACGUAGGGGGCAAGCGUUGUCCGGAUUUAUUGGGCGUAAAGAGCGUGUAGGCGGCUUGGUAGGUCCGCUGUGAAAACCCGCGGCUCAACUGUGGGCUUGCAGUCGAUACGGGCAGGCUGGAGUUCGGUAGGGGAGACUGGAAUUCCUGGUGUAGCGGUGAAAUGCGCAGAUAUCAGGAGGAACACCGGUGGCGAAGGCGGGUCUCUGGGCCGAUACUGACGCUGAGGAGCGAAAGCGUGGGGAGCGAACAGG